GUGGCUCAACUGGUAGAGUGGCGGUUUCCAAAACCGUUGGUUGGGGGUUCGAGUCCCUCCUU
rnacentral:tRNA from 1 species